AGGGAGGCAAAGAGUGAAGGUGCUCGUGGCGGAGGUCGUGGUGGGCGAGGAUAUGGACGUGGACGUGGUGGUAGUGGUAGUGGUGGAUACAGACGUGAUUUUGCAAAUGACGAGAACUUAUUCAGCAAUAAUGCUGUACCUGAAGAUGGAGAGAGUGGAAAACCCUCUGAAAGGUGUGGUUAUGGUGGUCCUCGACCUUACCGUGGUGGUCGCCGUGGUGGUUUCAGUAAUGGGGAAGAUGCAGAUGGGGAGCAACCUCGCAGGUUGUAUGAACGCCGUAGUGGGACAGGGCGCGGGUAAAAAAGGAAGCUUUUGUUUAACAUUAGCUUUGAUAUAUUCUGCAUAUCGGUAUUUUAGCCAAGUCUCAAAGCUGAUGUUUUUGUGUUCUGUUCAUGUCUGCAGAAAUGAGCUCAAACGUGAAGGCUCUGGUCGUGGUAAUUGGGGAACUCAAACUGAUGAACUUGCUCAGUGAGUUAUCUCUAGUAGUUACAAUCACAACCUUCAAUUUUAUUGUAAAUCAAUAAAAUAUCACUUUGUUUCACUCUUCUUCCCUUAUUAUAAUCAUAAAAUGAAAAUGAAAUAAUGUAUUUUUAUUGUUAAGGGUGACUGAAGAAGUUGCCAAUGAAGGUGAGAGGAAUUUAGGUGAUGAAAAGCCAGCAGGAGAAGAGGAUGCUAGAGAUGCUAACAAGGAGAGUGCUUCAAACGAGCCUGAAGAAAAAGAGCCCGAGGAUAAGGUAAAGGGUUAUUGACGUCUGCAACUUUUGUUAAUUAUAUAUGAUAGCUGCUAAUUUGGCUAUUACUUUGUUCAACCUUUCAUAUUGCAUUUUUAUAGGAGAUGACUCUUGAGGAGUAUGAGAAGGUGCUGGAAGAGAAGAGGAAGGCUCUGCAGGCUCUCAAGAUCGAGGAAAGAAAAGUAGAUGCCAAGGAGUUUGAAUCUAUGCAACAGCUUUCAAACAAGAAAAGUAAUGAUGAGGUCUUCAUCAAAUUGGUAAGACCCUUCGAUUCACUUUGAGAAAUUCAUCGUUAAUGACUCCAUCUUAUUAUUGGGAAAAUAUGUAGUAUUAAUCACUUGUUCCCUAUAAUUGGCUUCUACAGGGAUCUGAUAAAGAUAAGAGAAAAGAGGCUUAUGACAGAGAAGAGAGAGCAAAAAAGGUACUUUUACUUAUUUUUAUUGAUCUGUGUCAUAUAAUUUGCCUUCCCUUUUCCAGUUUGAACCUCAUUUGUGUGAUUAUUCUGUAUUUAAGGACCUUAGUUUAUACUGAUGUCAAAGUCCCUUGAUUUAAGAAGUAGUCCUAUCUCUUCCAUGAUUAAAGCUUGCAUAUGUGCUUUCUCCUUUUACCGGUUUGUGCAAGUUUAUCUAUGGCUUGCAUUUAUAUUUUUUGCUGGCACGUACUGAUGAUCCCUAUCCAUGUGGUGGUGGUGGGUAGUCUGUCAGCAUUAAUGAAUUUCUGAAGCCCGCUGAAGGGGAGAGGUACUAUAAUCCAAGUGGACGUGGGCGUGGUCGUGGGCGAGGUUCAAGAGGAUUCGGUGGAGGUAAUGCAGCAAGAGAUGUGGCGGCACCAUCCAUUGAAGACCCUGGGCACUUCCCAAUUCUUGGGGGCAAGUGAAGAAGGGAGAUUCCUUUAGAACCCGACAUAUGAUAUCCAUGGGUUUUAUUGGAUUUUUAGGUACUUUUAAAUUUUGGGCUGGGAAUAAGAUAAAUAAUCUGGUUUCCUGUCGCCAAAGGAUCUCUGAAUUUUAUGUUGUAAAAUGUAUGUUUCAGGGUUUUUCUCUCUUUUUGUUUUUUGGGGGUAUUGCCCCCACUAUUGUUAUGCUUUGAUCGUACUGUCACUGCUCACUGCUCACUACUCAGUUUUCUUUUGGAAUAGAUGGAACUAUUUUGCUACUUGUUUUCGAGCACUUUAGCAGUGUUUGCACCUGUUGCUCCCCAGAAUCUAAAGAUGAAUUAAUAGCGAUGCAGGGGAAGUAAAGCCUAAGAUUCUCUAUUGUAGGGUAAUUCGAUUCGACUCAAAAAAAUCGAAAAAAAUUUUGAAUUUCGAGAUAAACGAAUCGAGUUAUUCGAAUCAACUCGAAUUUUUUUUUCAAAUUUCGAGUUCAAAUCGAGUUGAGUUUUCGAAUUUGAAUAAUUCGAAUAAUUCAAAUAAUUCGAAUAUCAAACUAUAAUAUUUUCUUUUACCUUAAACUUUUAAAUUUUUUUACUUUUCUUUUAAAACUUUUAUUCUUUCCAACUUACUCCCAAAAAUUUUACUCCCCUCCUCUCCUAACUCCUCAAUUUACUCAGAAUUCAUUUCCUACUAAAAUUUUACUCUCCUAUCUAUUUUUUCUCAAAAUUUUACUCUAAAAAACUCUCAAAAUCUUUUAUUUUUCCCUAAAAUUUUUACUUCCUCUCACUUUUUUUCUAAAACUUUUAUUCCCUCUCCAUUCCACCUCUAUCUACCCCAAAUCUUCCCCUUUCAAUUUUUUUUUAAAUAUUUUCCCUCUAAAAUUUUGUUCUACUAUUUACUUUCCCUCAAAUUUUUAUUCCCCAAAAUUUUUUAUUUUCUCCCCAAACUUUUACCCCUCUCCCUUUAGUCUCAAAUAAAAAAUCAAAAUUAUCAAAAAGAAAUCACUAAACAUAAAUAGUAAUAAUUUUAUUUAUAUCUACUUUUUAUAUUAUUAAAUUAAAUUUCACAUUUUAUAUUAUUUAUAUUAUUGAAUUGUUUAGUCAUAUUGAAUAUUUAUAUUAAAAUUGAAUUAUUCAUUAUGCCAUAAAAUAUUCGUGUUAAAAUUUUAUAUUGGUAUCAAUUUCACAUUUUAUUUUUAAAAUAACUUUUAUUAAAAAAAUCAUAUUUUUACAUUUAAUAUAUUUUUUAAUUUCAAAAUACAUAGUGACAAGAAUCUGAAGAUAAUUGAAACAACUAAGCAAGCAAAGAAGCUAACUAGUAUAUAAAAAAUUAAUAAAUAAAUUAUAAGGUGAUGAAAGCUAAUAAAAAUUUUGAUUAAGGUGGACAAAUUUUAUUACAAUAGGUGAUAGUGGUUACAAGGACCCAAAAUUAUUUUUUAAAAUUUAACUCGAACAAAUAUAUUUGAUUCGAUUCGAAUUCCAUCUCACUCGACUUGAUUCGAGAAAACUUCAGAUAAAGUUAGGAUGAUAAAAUAAGAUUCGAAAACUUGAUUAACUCGAAAAUUUUCGAUUCGAUUCGAUUCGAUCGAAUGCUCACCUCUACUCUACCGUACUUCUGCCAUGGCUGCAUUGCAUUGUCUCGACUCGUCUUCCAUGAGAUGAUAUGAAGCCAAAUGCUUUUAGAUCUUAAUCGUCAAUGCAUUUGAACAUCUGAUUACUGUCUUCAAAUUAUAUUGUUUUACAUAAUCUUUAAAUCAUAUUGAAACGAUUAGUGUAAAAGCAUAGACGCAAGCAGCGGCAUCAGCAGCGACAUUGAAGCUUAGAAAGUUGGAUCAGAUUAUUGUCGGAUUUGCGUCAUGAAUCUGCCUUGUUUGCUAUUGUAAGUUGUACGUUUCAGGGAAGGGUUGCGUGGUUUAGAUAACAUAUGAAUCAAAUUUUUAUUGUUGGCUUACCUACUCGAAUUUGAAGUUAAAUAUUUAAAAUAUGUGAAUCAAUUUUUAAUUAUAUCUAUUUAUUACACAGACAGUUUUGAUGUGAUGAGUAAUAAAAUAUUUCUUUUAAAUUUUAUCAUAUUAUUCGUUUUUUUAAUACGUUACUUGUCGAUUGUUCAAGUAGUAUGUACAUGUAUGUUUAAACUUUGAUCUACAUAUUUUAAAUACGUUUUAUAUCAAAUUUGACUUAGAAUUUAAUGCUUAAUCUGACAAUUAAGUUAAUAGAAAGAUUUUAUUAAUACGAUACUAGUAUUUUGACUACUAAAUUAAAAAUAUGAUGAAAGUUAAAUAUUUAACAAAAGCAAUAGAAAAUCAUGGAAUAAAAUAAGAAUAUGUAUUAAUUGUAACCAUGAAGAAUAUUGACAUUAUAGCCAAUAACCUUGUCUAAAUGGGAAAGUCAAAUCUCCUAAACAAAAUUUAAAUAACAAAUCACCUACGAAACUAAAACAAUCCCUGCAAUAUUUGUUGAUACAAAUAAUUAACAAAGAGGAGAUGGAGGGGAGUGUCAAUUCACUUGUGACAAGAGAAGGGGAAUGGGAGAAAGUUUGGUUGAUGUUUAGGGUUUUUGUCUACAAAAGGAGAGAUUAUUGGUCUCUCGUGCACUUGGAUUAUAUAUAGGGGUCACCCAUUGUAUUGUUGUGCCACGUAGCCGACAGCAUUAGGGUCUGUAUGGUUAUGUGGUCCUGCUCAGACAUACAGUGUACUAUGAGGUCCUACUCAAACAUUCUUAUCCUUGACAUUUUACGAGGUUGUUACAUCUCAAUGGUCUCCACGAAGGGUAUACAACGAGUGAUCCCCACGAAGGGUGCGUAGUGGGUUGUUUCUAAGUUGGUUUGGACAGAAAAUCUGCAGACCAUCCUAAGCGAAGGGUCGUUACGAACAGUCCCUAGCGGAGGAUUGUCAACAGGUUGUUCCGUACCUUGCCAUGUGUCAUGCUCUUGUAAGGGUAUAAUAAUUGCCUCCUAGGCAAGAGGUAGUUUACAAAGUGGCCUGCCUUGAGACUAUUUAGUCAAUAGCUAUAACGGAGAGUUGCCAAAGUAAGCCAUGUAAUGGAAGGGGUGGAAGAUGAAAAGUUGUGAUGCUUAUGCUUAUUGAGAACGCUUUAGGAAAAAGGGGGUGCACUGAAUAUUCUAGAAAUUGUGCAUUAAUGGUGGAGCAUUGCAACUAUUCUUUGGGAAAUGACGCCAAUGAUGGGGUAGACUUUGUGUCCUUUUGUAGGACACGGUCUAGUUGGGUUGCUCCGUGAAUUAUUAGGUCUGCUAGAAUUGAAAUGCACCGUUUUGAGAAGUCCCUUUAAAAGAGGCUUAAGGGUUAUUUGCUUCUUCUUGAAAAUUUCCUAAGUUUUCAAGCCUUCAAGUUUUCCGGUUUUAUUUUUCGUUAUUUAAAUUUUCUAAGUGUUUACUCUUCAUUUUCUCUAUUAUUCUCAUCUUCUUUCACUUUCAUUUUUUCACCACCUUUGCUUGCUCGGAGUUAGGGCGUAUGUUGAGGGUAAGGCUCAAUUUUUGAAUCUUUCCUUUCCUUUUUGUUUUGAAUUAGCACCGAUAGCCAAAGGAAAUAAAGGAGAGGAGAUUGUGCCUUAAGAGGCAGUGGCUAAGAAGGUGAAGAAAAUUCCUAAGUUAGAGAGGGAUGUGGUGGUGGUUGGCACUUUUGAGUGCACCAACAGGACAAAAGAGAUGACUCGAUUACUCCGAUGCUGAGGGCUGGAGCUGAAGCACUAUCGAUAUGAAUUCAAUAAUCUAAAGGGUGAGUUUUCUCUAAGUGCAAUGAGUAGGCCUAACCAUAGGGGAAAGAGGCAUGGGUUUUACUUGUCGCUAUAUGUGUUAGAGGCAAGGUUUCAUCUUCCACUUCACCACUUUGUAUGUGAGAUUCUUAAUUAUUAUAGGAUAGUUUUGGGACAAUUAGCUGGGUUUUCAUGGUGGAUAAUAAUUGGGUUUUUGUUGUUGUGCUGUGAGUGUUGGGAGGGGAAGAGGUCCCCCACUAGUUGAACCAAACAACUCACCUCAGGUUGUGUACCUCACAAAGCAUCAAAGGCCCUCUGGUAGAAAAUUUGCUCUAUGGGUGGGCCAGCAACUUGAACCUAGAUAGACAGACACAAGUACAUUGUAAUGACCCGAAAGUCAGCGAUGUUGGAAAACGCAAUUUCGAGAUCUCAUUUCUGUAAAUUGAGACCGUAAAUAUUUACGGAUGUAUAUUGUAGAUUAAUUGAAUUUUGGAUAGACAAUUUUGUUGAAUUAGAGUUUAAUUAAGGUAUAGGGACUAAAUCAUAAAAUUGGUAAAAAGUUUUAUCACUAAAGAAUUUAAUAAUUAGAAAUAAGGAUAGGGACUAUUAUGGUAAUUAUACCAUCUAAUUAUUAUUGUGGCUGAUUUUUAACUAAGGUAUGCAUUUAUAUUAUAAAAAUUUUAGUUUAAUUAAAAAUUACAAAUAAAACAUAAAUUAAAAAGGAAUGAAAUAUAAAUAGUGGAGAAACAAAAUAUUUCCUAUUCAUUUUUCAUUCAUGUAGCCCGAAAACAAGAAGAAGAAAGAAGAAGUUUGGCCUUAGGAUUCCAUUUUUAAUGCUUCAAAUUGGUAGGUGCAAUUUAGUCAUUUUCUUGUAAAUUUUAUGUUUUUGGAAUCCCGAGAGCUUAAUCUAGAUGAAUUGUAUGUUAUUUUCCAGAAUUUUUAAAGUUUUAGAAUGAUGCCAUUGAUGAAUCUUUGAAGUUUUAGAUACUAAAUUGAUAGAUUUAAAGCUUAGAAGUGAAAAGGGACUAAAUUGUAAAGUUAAUUUAUAGUUUUGUAUAAUAGGGACUAAAAUGCAAAAAUUUUAAAAUUUAUGGUAGAAAUUAGAAACAAGAAGUCCUAAUUGGACUAUAGUGAAAACGAAUUGAAAAUAUGAGUUCUAGAUUGAAAGUUAUGUUAGUCUUAAUUUUAGGGACUAAAUUUAAUAAAAUGUAAAAGUUGUAUAAAUUUUCAAUUUAGUGUGAAUUUGAUUGUGUAUUGAUGAAUUAUUAUUGUGUUUAUAUUAAUCCGUAGCUAACGUCGACCUGGAUUCCUAAAAAAAGAAAGGAAAAGAUAAAAUUAUCGACGAAUAGCUUAGAGUUUUCAAUUUGUGUUUCUAUAAUCUGAACUGUCUCAAUUGUUGCAUGUAUGAACUUCGUUGUAUGGUAAGAUCAUAAGGUGAGUUACAAUUGAUAAAAUGGGUUGAAAUGAUUCGAUACGAAUUGGUUGUCUAUGUUAAGGACUGAAUUGAAUAGAUUUAAAAAUAUUAUAUAUUGUUUUAAAUGUGAAAUUGUAUCAAUUUUGUGAUGAUUUAUGUUGAUAUAUAUAAGAAUUGUUGAUUGGUUGAUUGAGAUUAUGAAAUGGAAAUUGGGAAUCGAUUAUAAAUGAAUGUGAGAAACUUGUUACUCUAUUGACUGUUCGAGCAGGGUUGGGUAUAAUUGGCAUGCCAUAGGAUAGGAAGAGUUUAGGGUUUUUACGACUAUGAGUUGAGGUGUGAUGGGCACACCUAAUUUUCGGUUAAACCAACCAACGCUGGGCGCAACUUACUAUUUCAGAUUUAUCCGAUUGACACUAGGUGUCAAAUUGGUGUGAUUGGUUGAAUCUGUGUAUCCGUUCGAAUCCGAGUCAGUUUAAUAGGGGGUUAAAAGUUGAAAUAAAAAUAAUGAAUUAUGAAAUAAAUUGAUAAAAAUAUCGAUGAUAUUAAUUUUUAUUGAAAGCUUGGAAUUGAGAUAGACAUGAGGCAAUAUAUUUUGUUGAGACAUUAACUAUGUUAUAAAAUGCAUUCGAUAUUAUAAUGGUAGUAGAUAUGAUGAAAAUGCAUUGUAUAAUAUUUGGUUGGUAUAUACACCCUAUGAUCAUUGAACCAUACCUUUAUACGUUUUAUAAUCCUUUUUAUUAUUCGAAUUAUGGAAAUACCAUUGAGUUCAUACUCAACGUACGAUUUUGUUUAUUCAUGCGCAGGUUAGGUGUUAGAUCAUAUACGUUUGUUGAUAUCAACAUCCAUUCGUGAUCUCUGACUUAUCAUGUUGGUGAUACUUUAGUUAGUUUGUCGGCAUGUACUUAAGGGGUCUUAUACCUAUUUUAUGCUAAUUGGAUAAAUGUUGACAUUUUGGCAUAGUUGGUGCAUAUGUAAAUGUUUACUAUUAAUGGUAUGGAUCAUGUGUUUAUAAAUGUGUUGGAUGCGCUUAAAGAUUAAAAGGUACAAUGCGAGCUAGUAAAUAAACGAGUUAUAUUGAAUGAUGAUUAAUAGUGAAAUGGUUAAGUAAAUAGCAUGUUAAUGUUAAUAUGAAUUGGUAAGAAAAAUGUUGGUUAUGUUAAACAUGAAAUGGUCAUUUGUUGUUAGAUGAACAUGUAUUAUGGAUGAUUAAGUUGAAUUUGGUAAUGUUUUUUUAAUGUGAAUUGAUAUGUUUUAGGUGCCAUUUGAGGCAUAUUGGUAUUUUGAAUGUAUGUGCUAUGAAUGUGUCAAAUUGGUAUGUUUUCUAUUGAAUUUAUACAGGUUUUGAGUAGGAAUUAUUGUGCAUUUGAACAUAGGUUAUGCUUUGAAUAUGGUUAAACAUGAACUAGGCCCUAAAUGACAUAUUUUGUGCCACACAGUUUGGCCACACGAUCGUGUGUCACACAAGGGUUAGUGACACGACCGUGUGCCACUAAAAUAUAGGAUGUAUAAGAAGCACACGGUUCCCAAUUGAUACAGGGGCUGGCCAUACGCCCAUAUGACUACUGUAGUUAUGGUCAUUUAGUUUUCACACAGUUUCAAUUUGUUACACAGCCCAGCCACAUGGCCAUGUGACUUUUGUUGAAUAUUGGCAUUUUGACCCACACGACCAUAGUGAGUUACACGGUUUGGAUACAUGGUCGUGUGACUCCAAUUCUACACGGUUAUAGCUUGUUACACGGUUGUGUGACCCCUAUUUUACACAAUUGCCCUUCUUUUUUUGUAAAAGUUUCAAAAUGAUCAUUGUUUGAUAUCGGGUCAAUUCAAGAGCUUUUGUAAGCUCAAUUUAAACCAAAUUUCGUUUGCAAAGUAUGAUUUAUGUGAAUGUUUGUAUUUAUUUAAUGUAUAAUUGAUUUUUUUAUGAAACACGUGUAACUGUUUUGUUAAUUAUUUAGCAUCUUGCCACUCGAGUCUGACGACCGAACCGGGUGAGGGGUGUUACAUACAUACUUGUGGAAUUAAAGUUUGGGGAUAGCUUUGAUUUCCUAAUUGAGUGGCCCAUGCAUCCAAAUGAUUUAUGUAACUUUAAGCCUUCAUUAGAAACUUAUGAAGGAGGCUGAAAAGCAGUUUAAUGACUUGAGAAUGGAGGGUUUCAUUGUGCUACCUUAUGAUAUAACCAUUCAUAGAAUUUGAAACACUGUCUUGGUUGAGUAAUUCCAUUUAGCUUCCAUAAUAUUGACUUCUAGUGAAGGUUCACCAAUAACUGUAUGAGGGCGCAUUAUACCCAUGCCUAGCCACACAACAGUGAAUAUGUGGUGUCUGGGAUUUUGUUUGGCCUAGAGGAGAAGGCGUAGUUGUAUGUAGUACAUUUUGGACUAUGUCUUGAUCGUAAGUGAGGGGCCCUUAAAGGCGUAACACAUGUAACAUUAUUAGACCCUUCCGAGGUUGAAGAAUGACAAUAUAAUAUAGGAAAUAGGGUCUAAAAGUUGUCUAGGGGUCUGGGGCUAAUGCACACACUACCGCGAAGUAUAUUAAUGUUAGCACUAUUGCUAGUGCGAGAACCAAUUGAUCAUCCGUGGCACGUUCUUACUCUCAGGCUUUAGGUGAGGAAAUAACUUCUGCAACUUCCACUCUUGUAAUUGAAAUUUCCUCAGAUGGGGAGGAAGCUUCUUUCGAUAUCCCUACAUUGGGAAUGGAUAUAUAUGUGCAUACCCUUUGGGAAUUCAUUAACCAGUAAAAGGAGUGGGAAAAUCUGUGCUAGAGGGCUCAUAUAAGAGGGCUGAGAAUUUUAGUUGUACCUUCUCCACAACUAUUUUAUUUUUAUAACUUGUGAAUUUGAGUUGUUGCUUUAAGUCUGAUUGUUUGUCUUGCUUGUGUAGCUACUUCAACAGUCAUAAUCGAAGGGAUGGAUGCUAAUUUUAUAGAUUGUUAUUCCUGUCCCCAAUAGAAAGAGAGCUAACAACCCAUCAAGUAAUCAAUUAAAAAGGGGUAGGACCAAAACUACAAUGGUUCGUUCCUGUGAGGUGGUGAUCAAUAAGCCAUCUCCUACUACAACUAAUCCCAACACACUCAUUGUGACGAGCCAAGGUGUAUUUGGGAUCCUUUUUAGUGAUUAUGUGUUGGGAUUUAGUGCUUUUAGUGUAGUUAUUUCAUCAUAGAUAUAUUUGUAAUCUUUCGAAUAGAUUGGUUUAGAUAAAAUUCCAUCAUUCACAUUUUUAUUGUUUGUAUUUGUCCUCAAUGGUUUUUACAUGCAAAACAAAAUGUAUAAGCAUAUAUUGGCUCACUGAUUACCUUACGUUUGACUAAUAUUAACGUACAUUAUGUGGUUGGAUCAUAAUGCAAGAAGACAACUUAUAUUAGUAGGUAAUCUAAAUGGUUUGUAGUCUGAUGAAUCGAAAUUGAGUAAAUCAAUUCAAGACUACUAUGUUGUUUAUUAAGUCUAAUUGGGGGAUACCUUGUCCUAGGUAUUGGAAUGGAUAACUCUCAAAAGAUAGAGACAUAAAUGUAACUGACUAGACUGACAGUAAAUCGGAUUGGACCCAAGUAGAAUAGAUCCUAGAUUUGUUUAUGGAUUUAUUCACUUAUGACAUUCAUAGUGUGACUUACCUAAAUCCCAAGCAAGUGAUGCAUUGUGUGUGCAUGACUCGUGUACUUUGAUGUAUUGUUAACUUGUGUUCAAUUAGUAAUAGAGUUGAAAGUUGGUACGUUGGAUAUACAGCUUUUGCAUAACAUAGCUUCACGUACAAUAGUAGAAUUCAUAACCCAAUAAAGAGUAAAUGAUAUCCUCUCAUUGGCAUUACAUAAUAGGUGGGAAACAAGUCAUUUUUCUUAAGAUGAAUUAUUUAAUUACUGUUUGUUAGUAAUUUAUUUUUCAUGAAGUAAGAUGUAAUGAUUAUCAGGAAAUAAAAUAGGAUCAUAUUGAGAGAACAAAUUUAUCCCAAAGAGAUUAAAGAUAUCCUAUGAGGGUACCACAUAUGACAAGGUCAUUGGACGAACAUUUAAUAAAGCAACUUUUGUAAUGGUAUAUAAUAGGGAGAGCUCAAUCAUGGGACUUUAGUGGAAUGACUUCAUGAUUAAAUAAUGUUGUAAUUAAUAGACAAAGAUUUGGAACUUAAUUAAAAAUUAUUUGAAUCCUAAUUAUAUAUGUCUAGUUGGUUCCUCCAUUAGCUAGAUAUAACCUUGAUGGUUUACAUUAAUCGAUGAAAUAGAAACAUGUGAAACAAUGGACUAGAGAAAUAGAUCGCAUGUAUCAUUAUCUACAGUGAAUACGUCUUCUCGCUAUAAACAAGAAGUGACUCAAAAAUUAAUUUAUAUAUUUGAAUUAUUAUUUAAUUAUUCUAAAAUUAAAUAAUUAAAGUUCGAAGAAGAAAUUAAAUUAAUUCAAUCAGCAUAGUUUCUUAAGAACAAGAUUAAUUAAAUUAAUUUACUAAAAUUUUAAAAAGGUAAAGUGGUUAUGACUUUAAUUAAAUUAAAUUCGGGUUGAGAAAAUAAUUUAAUAAGUAUAAUUAAUUAGAUUAAAUGAAUAAGUAAUAUUUUUGACAUAAGAAAAUAUUUAUUGGUUUUGAAAUAUCUUCAAUAAUUAUCCCACAACUUCCUUCAUAUCUAAGUAAAAUAAUCACCUUGGUCUCCAAGUAAAAAGAUAAGGACAAGUAUAAAGAUAAGGAUAGAAAAAAGCAUAGCCUGACAAUAAUUUGCGAAUAGUGUAACAAUCAUGAAGAUCAAAGUAAAAAAAUGCCAAUUUUAUAAUGUAGUUGAACUAUCUUGAAGACAUAUUCAAACUGUUGUUCAAAGGUUUGUCCAAACAACUGUUCAAACAAGGACAAAACAUGGUGAUAAAACAUGUAAUUCGAGAAACUAUUCAAACAUGAGAAGAUACUUCAAAUACAAGACAACUAAGAUCCCAACAUUUUUCAUCUUUCUAUUCUUUCACCAUUCAAUUUUCUAUCUUUUUUAUUUCCUUUGUUCUCUACCAAGUAAAACUAUUUGUCAUUACAAAGGAAACACAUGCCCUUGGAUUCUAUUUUGCCGCUGGGCAUCCCAUGAAUAAGUUGAAUAUGGGUGCGUAGUUGGCUAAAAGGAUGGUGGAUUGGUACUUGUGGCUGUUGGUAGGUUACAGUAGUUUAGCCUCCACAUGAGAGAGGAAUUCAAGUAAUAUUGUUGGUGUUUGACCUUGAGGAAGUGGACCAACAGGGCCCUUGUGUCAUAUAAUUGGAGUUUAAUUUAGGCAUGAUACACGAUGGGAGGUUUAUGUACCCUUACGUUAUGUAAUUAUCAACCAUGGCAUAAAAAAAUUAUGGUCUAAUUAAUUCUGCUAGUCAAAUACUUUCUGGAAAUUACAACUCUUUGCAAUUACAAAAAGUAUAAUUCAAUUAUUUUGCUUUCAAAAUCCACUCACUGAAAAGUAAAAUCUUUCCAACACUUUUUCUUUAUUCACAAAAUCUGAACUCAAGAUAUUAAUUUAUUCAACCCAAUAUUGGUCAUUUUAAAGUAUUUUGUUUAAAAAGUCUUUGUACUCUUUUAAAAUUUAAAAUUAAUCAUGUAUUUUAUUUUUGAGAUAUUAAAUCCCAUUACUUUUUUUAUUUAAAAAUUAUGGUCUCUCCAUUUAACUAUUACUGAUGUGAUAAUUAGAAAAUAAAUAUAAUAUUUUUUUUAACUCUCAAUAUUUAUAAUUUUUUAUUAAUUUAAUCAUUGCUCUUUAAAAGUUAAUACUUUUUUAUUAUAAUUUAUAUAAUCUUCUUCCUUUCUCUGUAAGUAUCUGUUACACUGCAACUCUUUUUACUGCCAUUUUCCCGCAUAUCUUCCUCUCAUAUUACUUUGCUUUUCAUAAAAAAUAAUAUUAUAUAAUUUUCAUUCUACAAUUAAAACCUUAAAUUGUAAGCAUUAAGGGCUAAAAAAGUUUUUCUAUCUAUUUUAUAAUCGCCAUAUCAACAAAAAUUAAUGAAAAAUGGACAAAGGGAUCAAAAUUUUUAAAUAAAAAAGUUGUUGAGUGUUUUUUCGUUCUGUCAUAUUGAAGGGGACAAUCAAAUAUUUAUGCACAUGAUUAUUAUUCAUGGAAUUGAUAUUCUUGGUAAGCUCUAUACAUGCUGGAUACGUUUAUUGUUCUGGUUUGCUUGCUAGACUUCGUAGCCACCACAUGCGAACUCCUUGCACAUGUGAACUAGGACAGCGAACUACCCUUGCUAGCCCCUUUGCCUUACCCCCACUACAAGACCUGCAUGCAUCCAACUGGUUGGGCCUAACCGGGUCGCGGGUAGGCAAUCCAGAUUUUAUCUGGGUUUCAGGUUGGUGAUCACAAAUACGAAACAAUCUAGUCCCCCUAUUGGAUUUAAAGGGGGUUAUAAAGUGGCACUCCUUAGAGCCAUCACUUCGCAUUUAUACAACUUGUUGAAUACGCAACCACUAAAGCAUGACGUUAGUCUCACCACAUAUACGGAGGGUUAUAAAGUGAUGUUCCUUAAAACUAUCACUUCACAUUUAGACAGUUUGUUGAAUAUGCUGCGACCACUGAAGCAUGACAUUAGUCUCGCCACAUGUGCGGGCGGAUCAUGUCUAUCUGUAUCUGGUCGUUGGUGCUCAUCGGUUAUUUGAAUCGUCAAAACACGGGAAAGAGAAACUCUUUAAAAAUAGGGUUUCAAAAGCCUUAAAACUCACAAACUUAACACUUUCUGCAACCAGAGUUGAUCGAGGCUUUUCUUCAAGGUAAAUCUUGUUAACUUCUUCGUUCUAGAUUUUAACUUUCUUCUUCUUCUUUUUUAUUUUUUUUAUUGAAACUAUGCCAAGAAUGAGAGGGGCUGGUGGUCGGAUAACUCCCAGCUAUCCACAUGAGAGCGUGCAAAAAAAGUCUCUGUAGAAGCCAACUUUUGCGUAUACACAACAAAAGAAGAAGGGAUGACUCAGGCUUUAGCCAUGCGAGGGAUUAAAAUCCCCAACUUCACUUACGACUUCCCCAUUCUUGAGGAUCCACAUAGGUUGAGUGACAUUAGUGAUGGUAACUUACUGCUCCCCUCCACGUUCUAAAAGCUAGAUUCUAUUUGCCCUUGAACCCGUUCUUCUGUCAUCUUCUCCAAUAGUACAGGAUCGCUCUUGGUCAGCUUUCUGGGUUUUCUUGGUGGAUUGCAGUGGCUUACUUCAUCGAUUGCUACCGACGUAAUGAAGUGUCACAGCUUGCGGUUUUUCAACGUUUAUGUUUGUUGAAAGCCCAGAACUAAGGGAAUUUACUGGGCUUCUACUAUUUCUCUCCUCACGAAUAGGUUAAGACUAUAAUCGCCAACUGAUGUUUUAAUCUUCAACUGAAUUGAGGGAAAUACAUUAGGGUGAAAUGUAGGCUCAGCGAUUGGUUUGGUUUGCCAACAGAGUGGUCGUACCAAACAGGGACAUGUGUCUAUUUAAGUGAAGCAUUACAACAAAUAAUGGUAGAGUCCAACUUGAAAGGCUUCACACUAGCAAUCCUCUGGUUGUAGAGGAUGUUAUAAGUGCAAUGAAUAUGUUUCGGUAUUGUUUGAAAGGCUUUAACCCCAAUGGAUAGAAGCGGGGUGACAGUAGGGAAGUGGCCAAAGCUGCUGGUGCGUGACCUAAAAGACAGACAUGGCCUUAUGGGGCUAGAGAUGACCUGGGUCUGAUAUUAACAGGAUAUAACGAGGAGCUUAGGAACUUCUUUUACAGUUUCUGCAGGAUGAAACUUCGCCCUUGGAUCUCAGCGGUCUCAUCGCACAAAGAAAGUUAUGCAAAUAUUAAUUUGAUAAUUGCUUUCGCUGACCUUGGAAUUAUUAUUGGUGCAGGCACAGCUCGCGGUUUUGGAAGCGAUUUAGAGGAAACUACUAGUCUGUCUCGUGAAAUUAACAAAGUCAUGGACCUGCAAGCUUCUCUGAAGGAUAUGUACAAGAAGCGCAGAAUCGAUGUAGGGCCUAUGAAUGUGGUUAUCAGCAGUAAAGAGGAGACAGAUAGUGGAAGACUAAAGUAUUACCGUAAAAGGAAAGUAGAUCAUACUAGGCCUUCUUCUAUGAUAACCGCUACUCUUAUUUCUCCCUCAAUAAGCUCACCAUCAAUAGCCCAUACAAGUUUUUUGAUUGCUGCUCAUGGCAUCUCUCCUCUUUCUACUCCUCAUUGUAUUCUUUCUUUUUUACCUCUUGUUGAGGAAACCUUAUCUGGAGAGGAUGGUGAGCUAUUCCCGCGGUGUGGACGUAUGAGUAUGUGAGAGUACCCCUAUGAACCUAGCAAAGUGGUGGAGAAGUGGAAGGUUUUUUUACCAGAAACUACAGAAAGGUAAAUGUGCAUCGCUGAGUCAUCGAGUGGUGCAAAGAAUCCUCUACUGUCAAAGCUUACCUCAUCCUUGCAAGUUCUGCUGGCUGAGGCUACUAUGGUUAACUUAAGCCUUAAUGAAAACGUUGGUAAAGUUGAGGCCAGUCAAAGGGAGCUCGAGGAAACUAAGGGGGAUUUAGAGAGAACUCGCAAGUUAUACCUCAAGAUUAGGAAGGAGAAUAAAGAUCUUUAUAGAUAAAUUAUAGAGAUCGUUGGCCGUCUGGAAGCUACUAAGGUCAAAAUUGAUGAGUUAUUUGAGAAGGUCGCAGUUGAAAAAGAAAGAAAAGAGGCCGUGGACUGAUUUGAAGAAAAUGACUAAAGAGCAUAAGGUAACCGUGAAUCAAAUUGUUGAAGAAUAGGAAGCUGCUAUGGCAAGGUCAGAGUAGAAACAAACAGAGGCCUUAGAGAAAUUUAAAGGGAAGACUCUGAAGAACUUGAGUAACCUUGAUUAAGAGCUCAAGUCGAAUGAACUUAUGCAUGCCCAAGUUGUAGGUGGCCUUUUUUAUGCUCGCGGGGUUGACCUCGAUACUCUCUACGAUGUGGAUAUGAACCAACUGAGUGUCAAUGUUCGCUACCCUUCUAAAAUUUUCUGGGAUGAGUUCACAUCCAAAAUAAGAAACUCAAAAGGCUUUUACCAGGAUAAAGACCUAGCCGAAACCAACACUACUCCUGUUGACAACAAUGAAGCCAAUGAGGACCUCGCUGAAGCCAAUGUUGCUCCUACUAAUGGUAAUGACCACAUUGAAGUUGUUGGAAGAGAAGGAGAAAAUGAGAUCUUCAGCGACCAUGAAUGGGCUGAUAAUAUGCUUUAAUUGUAACUUUGUAUUAGUUUUUUCAUCUUGAAAUGAAAAUUUUAACUUUGAAAAUUUUCAAAUUUGCUUGUUACUAUUAUGACAUCAUAUCCUUUUGUGGACUUAUUUUAUCUUUUCGCAUAACACUACUGCGUGUACCAAAAAUUUGAACUUAAAAAUUUUUUUAAAGAUAUUCUCAGAAACUUUUAAUUGACUUAGUGUAAUUCAAAGGUUCUGUUUUAAGUGACUUAUCAUCAAUUUUGACUUGAGUGUUCUUAAACAUCUGUAUUGUGAAUUUAAGUAAGCAAACUCGAAGGAAAUUAAGUUACGAUCUCAAAUCAAUUAAGCCUUAAGUACCACACAAGAAGGUAGCUUUGCUAGUUGUGUUGGAUCUGCGAGCUUAACUAUGCGAGCUCUUAUAAUGUCAACUGGGAGCAUAGGUCUGCGAGCUGCUUUAGAAGUUGUGGUUUUAAACCGUCAAACCUUUAGGACAUCAACUGGAAGCGUAUGUUCGCUAGCUGCUUUAGAGGUUUCGAUCUUAAACCGUUAAACCUUUAUGACAUCAACUAGGAAUGUAGGUUUGCUAGUUACUUUGGAGGUUAUGAUCUUAAACCGUCAAACCUCUAUGACAUCAACUGGGAGCGUAGGUCUGCUAGUUGUAUUGGAGCUGCGAGCUUAACUCUUCGAGCUUUUAUAAUGCCAGCUGGGAGCGUGGGUCCGCUAGCUACUUUGGAGGUUACGACCUUAAACCGUCAAACCUUUAUGACAUCAGCUGGAGCGUAGGUCCGUUAGCUAUGCUGGAGCUGCGAGCUUAACUCUGCAAGCUCUUAUAAUGUUAGCUAAGAGCGUAGGUUUGCUAGUUGUGUCAGAGUUACGAGCUUAACUCUACGAGCUCUUAUAAUGCCAGUUGGGAGCUUAAGUCCGCUAGCUGCUUUGGAGGUUGUGAUAUUAAACUAUCAAACCUUUAAACUAUACAAAGUACAAGUGUUUAUAAAGAGAAUAUUUUUAUUCAAUGAGUAAGAAAUUACACAUAGUAUUUCUUAAGGUGAUGAGCAUUCCGUGUUUAUGGUAGAAUUGUACAUUUCAUUUUUGCUAACUUGUACACUCCAUAACCUAUCUUCUCAAUGAAUUUGUAUGGCCCUUCCUAGUUUGGAGCCAUUUUCCCUUAUUCCGAAGCUAGAAAACUAGCCUUGGUGUUUCUAAGGACAAGAUCACUUAGUUGGAAUUACUUGUUCUUAACCUUAGAGUCUUAGUACCGAGUUACUUGCUAAGCACAUGCUGCAUUCUUGAUCUCCGCUACUUUUCUAAAUUUAUCGAUGAGAUUAAGGUUAAGUCUGGUAGCCUGUUGAUUGACAUCUUCAUUAAAAUAUGUUGUCCUGUGCGACCGCAUACCAAUCUCAGCGGGAAUUACUACCUCAACGCCAUAGCCAAGGGAAAAUAUUAUUGCUCCUGUUGCAGUAUGAUGCGAAGUUCGUAGGCCCAAUAAGAUUCCUGGUAGCUCAUUUAACCACACCCUUAGCUUCAACAACCUUCUUUUUUAAGGUUGUUAGAAUCUUCUUAUUCAUUGCUUUAGUUUGCCCAUUCGUUUGUGGUAUUUUAAUAAAACUCUAAGCCAAAGCAAUUUGAAGAUCUACACAGAAAUUUUUGAACUUUUCCUGAAACUGUGUGUUAUUGUCUAUGAUAAUCAGGUGAGGUACACCAAACCAUCACACAAUUGAUUUCUAGAGAAAAGACUCCAUUUGUUUCUCUAUGAUGGUCGCCAAAGGUUUAGCUUCAAUCCACUUGGUGAAAUGGUUAACAACCACCACUAUGAAUUUUUUCUGUACUAUAGCCAUCGGGAAUGAAUUGAGAAUAUCAAUUCCCCAAGUCACAAAUGGUCAAGGGCUCGACAUGACUAGAAGAGGUUUUACUGAUUGUCGAUGCACCUGAACAUAUCUCUGGCAGGAGUCGCAUGUGCGAACCAAAUGAUGUGUAUCCUUUUGAACCAUAGGCUAGUAAUACCCUUGCCUGAAAUUUUUUUGGGUAGGUAGUCUUCCACCCAAAUGGUCACCACAAAUGGCUUCAUGAAUUUCUUACAUUACGUACUCAACCUCAAACGAUGAUAAACAUCGCAGCAGAGGAUGCGAAAACCCAUUUCUAUAUAGUACACCCAUUAAAAGAGUAUACUUAACAAUUGUAGGUCAAAACUAAUUAUUUUAACUCGCUAUGUAAUUGAGUAAUUUAACAAUUAUCUACAUAGUACUCAAAUGUCUAAUUUAUCGAUUAAAAUUUUUCGAGAGUAUGUAACUUGUGACAAUGACAUACCUCGUAGCUUUAUGUUGUAACCUUGUAAGCUCUUUCUUGUCCAGAUUAUCAUACACUCUUUGUAAUGUGCGAACUAAGUGAGCAAUCAAUGUCUCUUCCUGAUCUAUAGUCAAAACUUGUUGCAUGUCAUAGCUCGGGGUAUCAUUGUACUCCAAUAAAAAUUUUCCUCUUUGUUCAAUGACAAUAGAGGAUGCAAAUUUAGAUAAAGCAUUUGUACGUGUGUUGUCACUCCUUAUGAGCUGCUUCAUCUAAACUUUGUAAAAUCCUACGAGCAGCUGAAUUGCAACUGAAUGAUAUCUCUUUAACACUACGUCCUUAACCUCGUACUCGUCACUCAUUUACUUCGUCACUAAUUGUGAAUUUGUAUGGAUGAUCAUAUCAUUCACUCCUAGUUGGCGUGCUAGUUGUAACCCUGAUAUUAAAAUUUCAUAUUCUAUUGCGUUUAUGGAUGUUUGAAAUCCAAAAGUUAAUCUGUACCGCCAUUCAUUCCCACUGGGAUCAAUCAGAAGUACUCCUGCUCCUGAACCUGCCUUGGUUGUGGAGCCAUAAAAAUACACUAGCUACAUUUUCCAAUUAUCAAUUGUAUCUACAACCCCCUGAGAUGGACUAACUACUGGGUUACAUACAACAGAUGAAAAAUAGAUCCUAAAAUAAAGUGUGAGUUGAUCAUAAAUUAUUAUAAAAAUAAUAGGCUAAAUUGUAACAGCUUGUUUUUCGGUGGUGAUAGAACAACGGUUUUGGAACCACCAAUUUCCAUCGUGUUGAUUCGUAAGUAUUAUUUAUAAAAUAUUUACGGAGUCAUUAGAGUCAUAUUAAAAUUUGGUUAAGAAAUUUUAUCGUUUAGAUAGUUAAUUAAAAAAGGACUAAAUUGAAAAAGAUGUAAAACUUGGUAAUUAUUGCAUUUAGAUGAUUUAAUAGCUUAAAUAUCAUAGGAAGGAGGACCUAAGUAGUAAUUAAACCCUAGUUAUUAUUGUUGGACGGCUAUUGGAAUGAAAAUAAUAAAAUAACACAUGUUUUAAUGGCAAAAUAGUAAUUAACAUAAAAUUAAAACAAAAUAAUUAGAAAAAAGAUAACAUCUUCUUCUCCAUUUUAUUUUCAAAGUUGGCCAAAAACACCAUAACAGAGAAGCUUAAAGAUUCAGCUGGUUUGAGCCUUGCAUGGGUAAGUUUUGAGUCCCGUUUUUAAUGAAUUUUAUGUUUUUGAGAUCGUUACAACUAGGUCCAACUAACUCGUACCUUCCUUUCUGAAUCUGUUAAAAAUUUAGAGGUUUCCAUUGAUGAAUCUUGAUUUUUUUUAUGAUAAUUAUGUGUUUGAAGCUUUGAUUGUGGUAUUUGGUUGUUUUAUGAAGUAAUUUUAAUUAGUUUUUAUUUAAGGAUUAAAUUAUUAAAAUGUCAAAAUUUUAAGGUUUGAUGGUGAAUUAGAUGUAUAAUUAGGACUGUUUAAGGGCCAAUAUUAUUCGGUUGUAAAUUUUGACUUUAGAAAAUAGUUAAUUUGAUGAUUUUCAGGCUGUUAACUUGAGAAAAUGAUUUUCAGUUGUUAAUUUGCAAAAGUUGGACAAGUUAGGGGUAAUUGUGUAAUUUUGAAAAAUAAAAUGUAACAGCCUGAUUUUUAGUGGUGUUGGAAACAGUGGUUCGAGACCACCAAAUCCAACGAGUAAGCUCGUAAAUUUUUUUUUUAGUCUUUAUGAGUCAAAUAUGGUUUUAGAAAUAUUUUUGAAGUGGUAAUUUAUGUUUUAUAAUGAAUUAUUAGGUUAGAAUGGUAAAACUCUAGGUCAAGUGGUUUUAGAAAAUGAGGUAUCGAGAUCGUGUUUCUAUAAACUGAGCCGUAAAUAUUUAUAAAAAUAUUUACGGAGUGCCAUUAACAUAGUAUUAAAACUACGUUAAAAAAUUUUAACGUUUCGGUAGUUAAUUGAUUAAACAGGACUAAAUUGAAAAAGGUACAAAACUUUCAAAUUGUAAGAAAUAAUUGAUUAAAUGACUUACUUAAUAAACAACGGAGGGCUUAAGGAGUAAAUACGCCUAAAAUAAAAGGGUAGGAUGACAUGUAAGUGUGAAAUAAUAAAAUAAAGUAAACGGAUGGCAAAAUUGUAAUUUGCAUGAAAUUAAACAUACAAAUUAAAAUUAAAAGAGAAUUCUAGACAACUUUCUUCUUCAACUUCAGUAAACCGACAAGGGAGAGAGUUUCUAAGCUGGUUUUUCUAUUUUUGUUGCGUGUGAGUCUAAUUCUUACAUGUUUCUUGUAUUUUCAUGUUUUUGAGAUUGUUGCAAUUAGGUACAACUAAAUCCUACCUUAGUUUUUGAUUUUAUUAGAAAUUUUGAAAGUUAUCAUUGAUAAAUAAUAGAUGUUUUUGAUGAAUAACAUGGAUUUAGAGUUUUAAUUUUGUUGUAUGAUGAUUUUAUAAAGUGAUUUUGUUAAAUAUUCAUUUUAGGAUCAAAUUGUGAAAAAGUUAAAAUGUUAGGGUUUGGUAUUAAAUUUAUAUUUUAUUAAGAGCUGUAUAAUAGCCUAUAAUAUUUAGAUAAAUUAUUAAUUGAGGAAAAUUAGUUAAUUUGAUAGAUUAACUAGUUAAUGAACUAAAUUACAAAAGUUGUAAAACUUUGAGGUAAUUGUGUAAAUUUGAAAAUUGAAAGGUAGUAAUUGUGAAAUGAAUUGGAACUAAAAUAUAUGCUAAUGAAUGGUUAAUUUUAUAUUUUAGAUGAAGAUCCCGUAGAUACUCGUAAAAAAGGAAAAUUAGCAAAAUAGUCCUUAAACUUCUGCAAAUAUUACAAUUUAACCCAGGUAAGUUCAUACGGUUAAAAGUUAAUAAUUAUAUUUAUUUGAUGAAUGGUAUUAUAUAUAUUUAUUCUAUUGUUGAAAAUGAAUUAUUGUUGAACUUAUAAUUUUGUAUUGAAUAAUCGAAUUAAAUGGAACGCGAGAUUUGAGUACAUUCGUUAUGUGGCACAUGGCAAUAUUGGAGGAAAACGAUGAAUAAUUACCCAAGUAAAUCUGGGUUCAGUAUUUGUUGCAAAAUCUCGUGUUUUACUUUCUGUUUAGCUAUUACGAGCUUCUAUUUAACUCAUAUGAGUUUCUAUUUAGGUCUUAUGAGCUUCUGUUCAACUCUUAUGAGUUUUUUUCAGCUCUUAUGAGUUUCUGUUCAACUCUAAUCGGUUUUUGUUUAGCUCUUAUGAGCUUCUGUUUAGCUCUCAUGAGCUUUUAUUCAGUUUUCGGGAUUCUUGAAAUGAUGUACUCUUAUACGUAAGCCGUUCUUCAAUUUGGGAAAGAUUUGGUAAGGUGAUUUAUAUAUUGAAAUCGAAAGACAUAUUAUUUAUUUUUGGUAUUGACUUGAAACAAGUGUAUUCAUCGAUUUAAGUUGUGGUUGACAGGGAGUUUACAUGAAUGAUUUUAUUUAAUUGAUUUGUUAUAGUAGGUUCGGUAAGAUUUAUGUUUAACCCGCCGAACUUACUGAGCUUCAUUAAGCUUAUGUGUAUUGUUUCUUGUCUUUGUAGAUUUUCAGAAGGUUGGGUGAUCGAAUCAACAUUCAAAUCACACUAUCCAAUUUAUUCCGGUAGUUUUUGAAACAUUCAAUACGGUUUAUAUGGCAUGUAUAGGGUUGCCGUGGAUUUGAUUAAAAUUUGGCUUGUGUAAAUGUUAGGAGUGAUGUUUUGUUUAUAUAAUCAAUUUAAAUAUAUAUUUUGGUUUGGAAAUGAAGUAAAUUUGUGAUGUGGGUGUGAAUGAUAUAUGUUUGUAUGUAUUUAAUUUGUGGUAAACUUUAGUAGAAUUGCUAGAUUGAUUAAAUAGGUAAGUUUGAGUAUUUGGGUAUGUGUGAUGAUAUGUUAUGUUUAAAACAUGAUUUUGGCUUGUUUUGAUUGCUUUGUUAUGGCUUAUUGAUGUGUUAAAAUGUUGUGUUUAGGUUGGUACCAAAAUAGGUGAGAAAUGUGGCCUUGAAAUGGCAUAUUUUUGUUCACACAAGUAGAGACACGGGUGUGUGUCUCAGCAGUGUCUGACACAUGGCCAAGUGACACGGCCGUUUGUCCUCUAUAACUUAGAAAUUUGUACAAGUCAGUAUCCUCACACGGCCUAACACACAGUCAUGUGGCUUGGCCAUGUGACCUAAGUAAGAGAGCUUCUAAGUUUGGACACGAGCUGGGACACGGCCGUGUGCCCUUAUUUCGAAUGCCCACACGGCCUGAGACACGGACGUGUCUCUUGAUCGUGUGAGCCACACGACCUAGCCACAUGGGCGUGUGUCCCCUGUGCCUUUGAAAAUUUUUUAUGUUUCCUGAAAAAACAAAUUUUCUCUAAGUACCCGGUUUAGUCUUGAUUUAUUUUUAAUGUGUAUUUUGGGCCUCGAUGGCUCAUAUAAGGGACUUUAUGAUUGAUUUAUGAUAUGAAUACUAUAUGAUGAGAAAUAUCAGUUUACUUGAUCUGUAAAUAUCAGUAAUACUUUGUAACCCUAUUCUGAAAAUGUAUACGGGUUAGAGGUGUUACAUUUAGUGGUAUCAGAGCAUCAAUUUAGCCGAUUCUCAGACUGAACGUAGCGUGUGAAAUAUCUAAAAAUACAUGCCAUAUAAAUCUGUGAUAGUGUGAUAUGUAUGAUCCGAUCUAACCUUUGUUUUCUUAUAGAUUGUAAAGAUGUCAGAUGGAUGUGAACGUGCUGACAAUGAUGAGGUUAAUAGUAAAGCACCAACUUCUUAACAUGGGACGAGUAGUAAUGUCCCAAUUCCUCCGGUUCAGGAACAAGAACUUAAAAUCAUAUUCUUUGGGUAUAUGAAUCAGUGGUUCAACGAGUUUAUGCAAGAAAGAAAUCUGACUCAGCAACCUCUACCCCUACUAUACCAUCUGUAGUACCUCCGGUUGCACCUCCAAAUCCUCCAGUGACUAAACCUACUAGACAUACUCCAAUUGAAAAACUCAGAAAGUAUGGUGCUGAAGAAUUUGGAGUAGGUCAGAGGAUGAUCCAAUUAAAGUUGAGUAUUGACUUCAAAAUAUAAUAAGGGUCUUCGGAAUAAUGGCUUGUUCCCCUGAUGAUUUCCUUAUAUAUGUUGUUUCAUUAUUAAAAAAGGAAGCAUAUAACUGGUAGUCGACAAUAGUAGCUGUGGUACCAAAAUUGAAAAUUUCCUAGGAAAUUUUCCAGACUGAAUUUAAAAAGAAAUAUGUAGGAAAAAGGUAUUUGGAUAAAAAAAAGAGAGAAUUUCUUGAGUUACGUUAAGGACAUAGAUCAAUAGCUGAGUAUGAGAGAGAAUUUGUAUAUCUCAGUAAAAAUGCUCAAGAAAUUGUGUCAACUGAAGCAAAAAUGUGAAUCUGGUUUGAAGAUGGGUUGAAUGAUGAAAUUCGAAUGAUGAUCGGAGGUAAUGAAAUACGAGAAUUUUUUGUCUUAUCUGAUCGUGCACAGAAAAUGGAAAAAGUGUACAACUGUAAGAUGCAAUGAGACAGGCAAAAUCGAGAAUUUUACAAAAGAGACUCUUCUAGUCUUAACUUUCAAAUAAAAACAAGACGGUCCAAUACAAUUUCAGGGUGCCUACUAGACCAAUUGAUAAUAUAGGUAGUGUACAACUUACUCUAAAGCGUAAAUAUAGAUACUGUGGAAAAUAUCACCCUGGCGAGUGUAGAAGUAAAAUGGGAGCCUGUUAUAGGUGUGGAUCAACUGAUCAUUUUAUUCGUGAUUGUCUCAAAUUGCCAAGAGAAGAUGAUGAGCAGAAAGAAAAGGAAUUGUCUACUUCUCAGAAAAGUAGAUGCUCGGGCCAAAAUAGUGCUACUAGUACUGCUCAUUCAGGAAUGAAAGAUACUGUUGUUCGGUCAGAAGCUAAAGCACCUGCACGUACCUACGCCAUUCGAGCUAGAGUGGAAGCUACUGCUCCAGAUGUGAUUGCUGGUAUAUUUUAUCUCUUUGAUGUUACUGUGUAUGUUUUGAUUGACCCUGGGUCAACUCAUUCUUAUAUUUUCACUGCAUUAGUAACAAAAAGAAAGUUGCCUUGAUUAUGAUAUUCAAGUUACUAAUCCAUUAAGUCAAAGUGUGAUAGUUAAUUUAGUUAGUCGAAAUUGUCCACUGAAAGUUAAGAGUUGUGAAUUCCCUGCUGAUUAGAUGUUGUUACCCUUUCAGGAAUUUGAUGUUAUCCUGGCAAUGGAUUGGUUAGUUUUUCAUGAUGUUGUGGUAAAUUGUAGACAGAAAUGGAUUAAUUUGAAAUGUCAGACAGGAUAGAUGAUUUCAGUUGCGUCUGAGAAUCCGAAAGAUGUUACCAUUUGUUAGUAAGUUUGCUGAUGUAUUUCCUAAAGAAUUUUCGGGUUUACCUCCUAACCGUGAAGUGGAGUUUGUAAUUGAUUUGAUUCUAGAACUGCUCUGAUAUCAGUAACACCAUACUAUAUGGCACCAGCUGAACUAAAGGAAUUAAAAGCAUAGUUGCAAGAGUUAUUAGACCGAGGGUUUAUCAGACCAAGCAUGUCUCCUUGGGGUGCACCUGUUUUGUUUGUGAAAAAGAAAGACGGUUCUUUGAGAUUGUGUAUAGACCACAAACAAUUUAAUAAAGUCACAAUUAAAAACAAAUACCCUUUACCACGUAUCAAUGAUUUGUUUGAUCAACUGAAAGGUGCCGCAGUGUUCUUGAAAAUAGACCUUAGAUCUGGGUAUUAUCAAUUGAAGGUUAAAGAAUGUGAUGUGCUAAAAACUGCUUUCAGAACUCGUUAUGUUUAUUAUGAGUUUUUGGUAAUGCCAUUUGGUUUGACUAAUGCCCCUGUUGCUUUUAUGGAUUUAAUGAACCAAAUUUUUCAACCUCACUUGGAUAGAUUCAUGGUUGUGUUUAUUGACAACAUACUAAUCUAUUCAAAGACAGAAUCUGAGCAUACACAACAUUUAAGGAUCAUACUACAGACUUUGAGAAAAAAAUAGUUGUAUGCAAAGUUUAGUAAAUGUUAAUUAUGGCUCCGUGAGGUUGGAUUUUUAGGUCAUAUAGUAUCAGCUGAUGGGAUUCGAGUUGAUCCGAGUAAUGUUUUUGCUGUGAUAAAUUGGAAAACUCUGAAAAAUGUUUCAGAAGUGCGAAGUUUUCUGGGUUUACCAGGUUACUACCGACGCUUUGUCAAAAACUUUUCAAUUAUUAUUUUACCGAUGACCCAAUUACUUCAAAAAAUGUGGAGUUUGUUUGGUCCGAAGAGUGUCAACAAAGCUUUGAUCAGCUAAAGAAAAUGUUGACUGAAACUCCAAUCUUGACUCAGCCAGAAUCUGGUGUAACGUAUGUUGUUUAUAGUGAUGCAUCUCUCAAUGGUUUGGGUUGUGUACUAAUGCAGUCAGGAAAGGUAGUAGCUUAUCCUUCUCAAAAAUUAAAGUCGUAUGAGAAGAAUUAUCCUACAUAUGAUCUUAAGUUGGCUGCGAUCAUAUUCGCUUUUAAGAUUUGGAGACAUUAAUUAUACAGCGAGAAAUGUUACAUGUUCACAGAUCACAACAGUUUAAAGUAUUUCAUGACCCAGAAAGAAUUGAAUUUAAGAAAGAUGUGUGGUUAGAAUUACUCAAAGAUUACGAUCUAGUUAUUGAUUACCACCCGAGAAAGGCUAAUGUGGUUACGGAUGCAUUUAGUCGAAAAUCGUCAUUGUUUGCACUCCGAGCAUUGAACGCUUAUUUAACUCUUAGUGAAGAUAGUUCUGUAUUAGCCGAAUUGAGAACGAAACCCCUAUUUCUGUAACAAAUUCGAGAAUUGUUAAAUGACGAUCCAAAAUUGGUGUAGAAACGACAGAUGGUUCAGGAUAAUCUGAGUUCAGAGUAUAGUGCUGAUGGUAGUGGUAUGUUGCGUUAUCGCAAUAGAAUUUGUGUUUAGAAUAAUUUGGAUUUGAAAAAUGAUAUUCUUUCUGAAGCUCAUAGUAGCACGUACUCCAUUCAUCCGGGGAUUACAAAGAUGUAUUGUGACUUGAAACAAAUGUAUUGGUGGCCGGGUAUAAAACAGGAAAUCUAUGAAUAUGUAGCUAAACGUUUGAUAUGUCAGCAGGUGAAAGCAAAACAUUACGUACCAACGGGUUUAUUACAACCUGUUAUGAUUCCUAAGUGGAAGUGCGAACGAGUCACAAUAGAUUUUGUAUCUGGCUUACCUGUAACUCCGGGAAAGAAAGAUUCGAUCUAGGUGAUUGUUAAUAGAUUGACUAAAUCGACACAUUUUAUUCCAGUAAGAACAGACUUUACACUGGAAAAACUAGUGGAACUGUAUAUGUCUGAGAUUGUAAGAUUACAUGGAGUUCCGACCUCUAUUAUUUUGGAUUGGGAUCCAAGAUUUACAUCGAGAUUUUAGAGUAAUUGUAGCACAGCAUUUCAUCCUCAGGCUGACGGACAAUCAGAACGAGUAAUUCAGAUACUAGAAGAUAUGUUGAGAUAUUUUAUACUCAAAUUUGGAGGUAGCUGGGAAAUGUAUUUACCGUUAGCUGAAUUUGCAUAUAAUAAUUAUCAAUCCAGUUUAAAAAUGGCACCAUUUGAAGCUCUUUAUGAGAGAAUAUGUAAAACACCAUUAUAUUGGUCUGAACUGAGUGAAUCCAAACUAGUAGGAGUUGAUUUGAUCCGCGAGACUGAGGAUAAAUUUUGGAUUAUCUGGGAUAGUUUGAAAGCUGCUUCUGAUCGUCAGAAAUCGUAUGCAGAUUUGAAAAGAAAAGAUAUAGAAUUUGCUGUUGGGAUCGGGUAUUCUUAAAAGUCUCUUCAUAGAAGAAAGUAUUACGGUUCGACAAGAAAGGAAAGCUAAGUCCAAGAUUUAUCGGACCGUAUGAAAUCGUUAAAAGAAUCAGCCUUGUAACUUAUAAAUUAGCUUUGCCUCCUGAACUUGAGAAAAUUCAUAAUGUGUUCCACGUAUCGAUGCUGAGACGGUACAGAUCUAAUCCUACACAUGUGAUUCCUCAUAGUGAGAUUGAGCUAUAGCCAAAUAAAACGUAUUCGGAAGAACAUGUGAGAAUUUUAGCUCGAGAGGUUAAAGAAUUGCAAAAUAAACGAGUACCAUUGGUAAUAGUAUUGUGGCAUCGUCAUGGUUCGGAAGAAGCGACUUGGGAAACAGAACAAUCAAUGAGGUCAUAAUUUCUGAAUCUAUUCUCAGGUAACAAAUUUCAAAGACAAAAUUUCUUAAAGGGUAAGAGUUGUAACAGCCUGAUUUUCAGUGGUGUCGGAAACAGUGGUUCGAAACCACCAAAUUUGACAAGUAACCUCGUAAAUCUUAUUAUCUAGUAUUUACGAGUCAAAUGUGGUUUUAGAAAGAUUUUUGAACUGGUAAUUUAUGUUUUAUAAUGAAUUAUUAGGUUAGAAUGGUAAAAUCCUAGGUCAACUGGUUUUAAAAAAUAAGGUAUCGAGACCUCGUUUCUAUAAAAUGAGCCAUAAAUAUUUUUAUAAAUAUUUACGAAGUGCCAUUAAGAUAGUAUUAAAGUUUUGUUGAAAAAUUUUAACAUUUCUGUAGUUAAUUGAUUAAAAAAGACUAAAUUGAAAAAGGUGCAAAACUUGCAAAUUAUAAGAAAUAAGUGAUUAAAUGACUUAAUUAAUAAACAAGGGAGGACUUAAGGAGUAAAUAUGCCUAAAAUAAAAGGGUGGGAUGGCAUGUAAUUAUGAAAUAAUAAAAUAAAGUAAAUGGAUGGAAAAAUUGUAAUUUGCAUGAAAUUAAACAUACAAAUUGAAAUUAAAAGAGAAAUCUUGACAAUUUUCUUCAACUUUAGUAAACCGACAUGGGAGAGAGUUUCUAAGCUGGUUUUUCGUGUUUUUACUGCACGUGAGUCUAAUUCUUACCCGUUUCUUGUAAUUUUUAUAUUUUUGAGAUUGUUACAAUUAGGUACAACUAAAUCCUACCUUAGUUUUUGAUUUUACUAGAAAUUUUGAAAGUUACCGUUGAUUAAUAAUAGAUGGUUUUCAUGAAUAACAUGGAUUUAGAGUUUUAAUUUUGUUGUAUAAUGAUUUUAUAAAGUUAUUUUGUUAAAAAUUGAUUAUAGGAUCAAAUUGUGAAAAAGUUAAAAUAUUAGGGUUUGGUAUUAAAUUUAUGUUUAAUUAAGAGUUGUAUAGUAGCCUAGAAUAUUUAGAUAAAUUAUUAAUUGAUGAAAAUUAGUUAAUUUGUAAUUAACUAGUUAAAGGACUAAAUUAAAAAAGUUGUAAAUGUUUGAGAUAAUUGUGUAAAUUUGAAAAUUGAAGGGUAUUAAUUGUGAAAUAAAUUGGAACUGAAAUAUAUGCUAAUGAAUGAGUAAUUUUAUAUUUUAGAUGAAGAUCCCGUAGAUACUUGUGAAAAAGGAAAAUUAGCGGAAUAGUCCCUAAACUUUUACAAAUAUUACAAUUUAACCCAGGUAAGUUCGUACGAUUAAGCUUUAAUAAUUAUAUUGAUUUGAUGAAUGGUAUUAUAUAUAUUUAUUCUAUUGUUGAAAAUGAACUAUUGUUGAAGUUAUAAUUUUGUAUUAAAUAUUCAGAUUAAAUAGAAUGCGAGAUUUGAGUACAUUCGUUAUGUGGUGCAUGGCGAUAUUGGAGGAAAACGACAGCAAAUUACCCAAGUAAACUGAGGUUCAGCAUUUGUUAUGAAAUCUCGUGUUUUACUUUUUUUAGCUUUUAUGAGCUUCUAUUUAACUCGUAUGAGUUUAUGUUCAGCUCUUAUGAGCUUCUGUUAAACCCUUAUGAGCUUCUGUUAAACCCUUAUCGGUUUCUGUUUAGCUCUUAUGAGCCUUUGUUCAGCUUUCGGGCUUCUGAAAACGAUGUACUCUUAUUCGUAAGUCGUUCUUCAAUUUGGGAAAGAUUUGAUAAGGUGAUUUAUAUAUUGAAAUCGAAAGACAUAUUAUUUAUUUUUAGUAUUGACUUGAAACAAGUGUAUUCAUCGAUUUAAGUUGUGGUUGACAGGGAGUUUACAUGAAUGAUUUUUAUUUAAUUGAUUUGUUAUAGUAGGUUCGGUAAGAUUUAUUUAAUUGAUUUAUGUGUAUUAUUUAUUACCUUCGUAGAUUAUCGAAAGGUUGAGCGAUCGGAUCAACACUCAAAUCACACUAUCUAGCUUAUUUUGGUAGUUUUUGAAACAUUUAAUACGGUUUAUAUGGCAUGUAUAGGGUUGGCGUGGAUUUGAUUAAAGUUUGGCUUGUGUAAAUGUCAGGAGUGAUGUUUUGUUUAUAUAAUCAAUUUAAAUAUAUAUUUUGGUUUGGAAAUGAAGUAAAUUUGUGAUUUGCGUGUGAAUGAUUUACGCUUAUAUGUAUUUAAUUUGUGGUAAACUUUAGUAGAAUUGCUAGAUUGAUUAAAUAGGUAAGUUUGAGAAUUUGGGUAUUUGUGAUGAUAUGUCAUGUUUAAAACAUGAUUUUGGCUUGUUUGAUUACUUUGUUAUGGCUUAUUGAUGUGUUAAAAUGUUGUGUUUAGGUUGGUACAAAAAUGGGGGAGAAAUGUGGUCUUGAAAUGGCCUAUUUUCGUCCACACGGGUAGAGACACGGACGUGUGUCUCAGCCGUGUUUGACGCACGGUCAAGUGACACGGCCAUGUGUCCCCUGUAACUUAGAAAUUUGUACAAGUCAGUAUGUUCACACGGCCUAACACACGGGAGUGUGGCUUGGCCGUGUGACCCAAGUAAGAGAGCUCCCAAGUUUGGAAACGGGCUGGACAUUGCCGUGUGCCCCUAUUUCGAAUGCCCACACGGCCUGAGACACGGGCGUGUGUCCCCAGCACCUUUGAAAAUUUUUUAUGUUUCUUGAAAAAAAAUUUUCUCUGGGUACUGGGUUUAGUCCUGAUUUAUUUCUAAUGUGUAUUUCGGGCCUCGAGAGCUCAUAUAAGGGACAUUAAGAUUUUCUUAUGAUAUGAAUACUAUAUGAUGAGAAAUAUCGGUUUACUUGAUUUAUAAAUACUGGUAAUACUUCGUAACCUUGUUUCGGCGACUGAUACGAGUUAGGGGUGUUACAUAAAAGGGUAUAAAAUGCAGAGUUAACUAGAAUAUGAAAUGUAAGCUAAUAAUUGGGACAUUGUACAUUUUAGAUUAAGACAUUUUUUAUUUACGUAAAAAGGGGAAAAUUACAAAAUAGUCCCUAAACUUUUACAAUUAUUACAAUUCAGUCCAGGUAAGCUCGUUUGAUUUUUAAUUUAAUAUCUAUAUGAAUUGUAUGAUGAUAUGGUAUGAAAUAGUGGAUGUUAAUUAUUCUAUUGGUGAUGUAAAGUUGUUUGGGAAAAUGUUAUUGAAUUUUGGUACUUGGGCCGAAUGAAUGCGAGAUAGAGAACAACUGAAUGACAGCGUGCUAUGCAGAUAUUGGAGUAGAGAUUGAUGUGGUGUGUUUUAUAUAUUUUUCCCGAGUAUACUGAGGUUCAACAUUUGUUGCAAAUCCUUGUAUUAUACUAUCUUGUUCUGGCGUGUUAUGAGGGGCAGAUGUAUAGCCUACAGGCUAGGCACUUAGUGUCGAGGCGUGUUAUUGGUUGGAUUAGCUCUCAUGAGCAUUUGGCGUGUUAACGGUUGGAUUAGCUCUUAUGAGCAUUUGGGGUGUUUUGGUUGGAUUACUUAUGUACUCGUAUCUGUAAGUCGUCCAUCAAGUCGUAAAUUAUUGUAUUAUAACAUGUUUAAUGACUUUGAAUGGCAUGACAUGUACUAGAUAUCUUGAAUUGACUCUGUUAUGAAGAUGUAUGUUUUCCGGAAAUUAUUAUUGAGCUUUAAAUUGAACUAUGUAAUUUACUGGUUUAAAAUUGUGGAUGACAGGAAACAUUUGUUGUUGAAUUAUGUUUGAUUAAAUUGUUAUAUUUACUUCAGUAAGAUUUAUUGUUUCUGUCUCUUGAACUUAUUAAGCUUCAAUAAGCUUACUUGUGUUCAUUUUUGUUUCUUAUAGAUACUUUUGAGGGUUGAAUGAUCAGAUCAGCACUCAAGUCACACUGUCCCUCUGAUUUCAGUAGUUUUUGAACGUUUAUUUUGGAUUAUAUGGCAUGUAAUUAGUUGUUAUGUCAAUAACCUCGUUUGAUAUGUAUAUAUAUCUAUAAGGCAUGUAAUUAGUUAAUCUUUUAAUCGAUGUUGUCUUGUAAUAUGAUGAUUGUUACAUGAUUGCUAGGUUUGGUGGUGAAUAUAGUUCAUUUUGUGAAGUUGUGGUUAAGUUUUUGGUAAGCUUUGCUAUGAAUAAAUAUGAUACAUGUUUGAUAUUAACUUAGCAAGUUAUAAGGUUAGGUAUUUAGCUUAAAAUUGAUAAGAUUAUAUAUUUUGAAUGGAUGAAUCGUUGAUGAUUUAUAUGUUUGUAUAAAUGUGUAUACUUGCGGUACCAUUGAGGGUACAUUGGUUAGGCAUUUAAGAUGGUUGAUUUAGCAUGAUUUGAGCAGGUUUAAUGGAAUUUUGAAUAAGUCUAAUGGCUGGUAAAUGGAUUGCUUAGUGUUCAAGAAACCUUGAAAUGGUAAACUUAAUGUUUAACGUUCAUUUAAGUGCACAGGGCCUAGGACACGGGCUACCACACGGCCGUGUGCCACACAUGGUCUGUGACAUGGCUGUAUGUAACAAGUCAGUGAAUCACACGGUCUGCGACAUAGUAGUGUGUAUUAAGUCAGAGAGUUACACUAUAUGGCACACAAUUUGCGACACGGUCGUGUGUAUCAAGUUAGUGAGUUACAUGGUUUAAGACACGGGCUGGGACACGGCCAUGUAUCCCAAUUUCGAAUACUCACAAGGCCUGGGCUAUGUCACACAGCUGUGUGUCCCUUGUUUUUGAAUUUUUUCAUAUUUUCCUAAAAUUUCCUGACUUGUUUCAAAUUAGUCCCUGAAAAUUUUAAGAUUAUUUCUUCAGUCCCUUUAAGCUUGAUUUAAGCCUCGUAAGUUUAAGUUAUUAUUGUAAUUUAAUUACUUUAUGGUAUUUGAGAAAUUAUAUUGUAAUGAUCAUGAUUUUUACCUGUUUAUUUCUAUUAACUUGCUGUAGCAUUCUCGUAAUCCCUAUUCUUGUGACGGAUACUGGUGUUACAUAAAUUUUUGUUGUUCAUCAAUUGUUCACAGGAAAUUAUGAGUACCAUACACGUUUAAUUUCAUAAAAUAUUCAUAGCUCUAUAUUUCAAGUUACACACUAUAUUACCUACUGGAUCAACAGUCUUUUCAAAAGAGCACUCGACUAUAAAGUCGACUAAUAUCUGUCCUUUUAUGGUUGUUCUCGGGGCAAACUCCAUGCCAAAUUCAGCUAACUCGAUACUUCACUUCUUCACCCUUCCCGAAGUAUCAGAUUUAGAUAAAACUUCUUUUAUAAGCUUAUUAGUCAUGACGACAACUAGAUGAGCCUAGAAGUAGGGGCGUAGCUUACGAGUUGCAAAAAUUAGAGCAAAGAUAAAUUUUUCAAUUUUUGAAUACCUCAGCUCGUCGUUCUAGAGUACCUUACUGACGUAGUAAACUGGGAAUUGGCAAACGUCUUCUAUUCUAACUAGGACUACUGCAAUUGUUUCCUAUGAGGUAGCCAAGUACAAAUAGAGGGUCCCUCCCACUCGUGGUAACUUCAGAAGUGGUAGGGAUGUGAGGUAUGACUUAAGCUUUUUAAAGGUUGAUUGACACUCCUCAGUCCACAAAAAGGAGGUCAUCAUGGCUUUGAAGAAGGGAAGGCAUUUAUCUGCUAUCUUAGAGAUAAACCUGUUAAGCGCCACUAUUUUUCCUGUGAGGAACAAAAUAUCUAUGAUAGUCUGCCGAUGAGGCAUUUCCAAGAUAGCAUGAAUCUUUUUCAGGUUCACCUCUAUCCCCCUUUCUGAGAUCAUAAAGCUUAAAAACCUACCAGCUCGCGCACCAAAAGCACACUUCUCAAGGUUCAACUCCAUAUUGUGGGUCCUCAAAACUACGAACACCUCUGACAAGUUUCGCACGUGCUCUUCCAUGGUUGUACUUUUUACUAACAUAUCAUCGACAUAAAUUUCAAGACCAUUCCCUAUCUACUUCUUAAAAAUCUUGUUCACCAGUCUCAAAUAGGUUGCUUCGAUAUUCUUGAGGCCAAAAGGCAUAACCCGAUAGCAGAACAACCCAUCCUCAGUGAUGAAAGUUAUUUUCUCCUGGUCAUAUUGAUCCAACAAAAUUUGGUUAUAACCCUAAAAGGUGUCCAUUAAGCUCAUGAACUUGUGACCUGAAGAAGCGUUAACCAAACGGUCAAUCGAGCGUAAAGGGAAGUUGUCCUUAGUGCACGCUUUGUUGGGGUUGGUGGAAUCAAUACUCAUCCUCAAUUUGCCAUUUUUUUUGUUCACCAUAACCACAUUUGUGACCCAAUCUAGAUACUCAACUUCCCUGAUAAAACCUGCCGACAACAAUUUGGCUACCUCUUGCCUCACGGCUUCCAUCACCUGUGAAGCAAACUUUCUCUUUUUCUUCUUAACAAGCUUGGCUUCAGGAAGUACAUUUAGCCUAUAGACAAUUACCUUACGAGUCAAUCCCUGGCAUAUCUACUGCUGACCAGGCAAAAACAUCGGAGUCCACUUUCAAAAACUGAACUAAAGUGUCUUUUUCUUCUGGUAAUAAUAUUGAUGAAAUUUUAAUUUUCCUUUGUUCAUCAUCGUAAAAUAGCUGUAAAGUCUCUGUGUGCUCUACUACUUCAGGUUUCUUACUUCUCUCUUCAUCCAUCACAUUUAGUCUAUCUAAGUCUAAGGCUUGACUAACCAGCUUUGUGCUCUACGAACUCUUCCCCUCAGUUGCGGACUCUCAUGCCUGUUUCACAAACAACAUGUGACAUUGUCUCGUUGUUCGCUGGCUAGAUCGCUUGAACCCCAUAAUUGUCCUUAUCGAAAAUUUGAUCUUUAUACAAAAUGUCACCACUACUAUCUUUAUUGUUCUUAUAAUCGAGCACCCAAAAAUGGCAUUAUACGCCACAGGAUUGUCUACGAUAAAAAAAACUAGACAUAUUCUGUAGUCGUAUGCUCACUAUCUCCCAAGGUAACUGGCAAAGUGGUAGAACCAUUUACCUCAACUGGGUGGUUAGCAAAACCAUAUAGCGGACUAGCAUUGGACAAAGCCUGUUCCUUCAAGCCCUUUUUUUGAUAAGCUUCCUAGGUUAUAACCUCUAUCGCACUCCCACUAUCAACCAAUAUUCUUCUCACCUCAAAACCUAUGAUUGUUACAGAUAUUACCAUCGGGUCAUUCCUUUCUUCAUCACACAUGAACUCCUCAUCGUCAUUACCAAACUCAAUAUUCCAUUUUCCCUGUUGAUAUGCCUUUUAGGUGGAUUUACUAUCAUAACACUCAUCAUUUGGCUUUUUCUUUUCGCAUUAGAACUUGCUCAGACCUCAUCUAUGCCUACAAUAACAUGAAUAGUACCUUGAUCCACAAACUCAGCGAGCUCAUCAUUUCUCACUGUCUCUUCGAUAGCAUCUUUCAAAGUAAAAUAAUAUUCGAUUUUCUACACCACAUCAUUAUAGAAAGCACACCUAUCCCUAGAAUUUAACCUUUUGGAACUCUGCCUCAUAAGAGAUAGCUUAAAUAGGCUACCUAAACUCUUUACCUGGUUCAAUAUGUAUACAUGAGUAGCGUUCAAUGGAGUGUAGGCCUCAAACAUACCUUGAGAUAUAUACCUUCUUGUUUGCUUGGGUUGAGAUCCCUGAAGAGUCUUGGGAGAAUUACCCUAUACCUGCAUUCUCUGUUGUCUAUCAGCUCGGGCACGCAGAGCCUAGUUGGGUUACCCCUACCUACUGCGAGCUCUUUCUCUCUUUCUGAACUGUCUACUAUCUCCUUGAAAUGUGCCACGCACCGUUCUCUUAAUAUCUUCUGCUUCCGCGAACUUGUGAGCCCACUCAUACAAGUUCGCUAAAGUCUGAGGCUUGUUACCAGUAAGGAGUAUUGUACAUGUUCAUUUUGCACCCUAUGAUGAAGGCAUCGAUAGCCCAUUGGUCCUCAAGGUUCUUCGUAUUCAGUGUUGCUGCAUGAAAUCGCUUCACGUAAUCUUAGAGAGACUCUAUUUCUCUCUAUUUUACGAACAUUAAUCCCAUAGGUGUACUCAUGAUUGUUCUGUGAGCCUUGAACAUUCUUAGAAAUAUCUGACCCAAUUGGGACAAACUUCGGACUGAGCCUUAAAGAAAAGAUAAGUACCAAUCAUUCGCACUUCCCUUAAGCGUUGUGGAAAAAGAUUUACACUUCGUAGGGUCCAAGGCUUCCAUUACAUUCAUAUAAUCGUUAUAUUGCAUCAAGUAGGCUCGUAGGUCUCUCCUACCCUCGAACAUAAGACCUUAAAAUCACGCAGUAGACUUAUUGCUGCUACCUUCGGGGCCAAUGGAUUGUUAGAAUAGAAAAGCCAGUCCAUGUCCCUAGACUAAGGAGGCAAUGCCCUCACAUCUCGCCACAAUGCAUCCAUCUCAUUUUGCCAUUCCCUCACAUACAAGCUUGGGCCUUCAUCCUGCAUGGUCAUUUUAUCGUGAAAGUCAAAAUCAUCAGAUUUGAUACGGAAACCCGGAUCUAGACACAAGAGAAACACAAAUUAGAAAUAAAACGAGAAUAAAUAAAAUUAGUUAAAUAAUAAUAAUAAUAACAAAAGAAAAAAAAGGAUAGGUUUGCCCUAUGGAACCCUUGGUUAACUUGUAACCAAAAACGCCAAUGAUUGAGCGGCUCCCUACGAAACCCCUAAAAGAAGAACCUCUAGAAACACCGAUGAACGGGAAAGAAAUUUGAAUAAUUGUAACUCCGAAAUACCCUUUAAAGUAACAAACUCCAAACUAAUAGCAAGAGAAGAAUCACUCUACUCUCAAAAAUUUGCCUCACACAAAUUUGGAAGAAAACAAAUACUCCUUUUUAUCUCCCCCAAUGUGUAGAAAACAAGCCUAUUUAUAGGCAAAUUACAAGAGUAAUUGAAUCCUAAUAAAAACUCUUUAAAGAGUAAUUGAAUCCUAAUAAAACUCUUUAAAAUUAUCUAAGAAAAUAAAUAAAUAAUAACCUAACCAAUAAAAUUACUUAACUCAUAAAUGAUGUGUCCCAACCAAUGAGAAUUAAGUAAAUAAUAAUAAUAAGAUACAUAAAAGAUUAAUCCACCAAUUUAUGGGCUUUCACUAUUCCAAGAUUGGUCCAGUGAAUUGCAUUCCCGUAUUUGUCAAUGUCACGAACAUGAUGAAUUAAAUUUGUAGCAACAAAGUCUUGGACAAAAUCAUUCAUCUUUGAUUUUAAUUGUCGUGUCUUACUUCAAGUGAUUGGACCACUAAGAAAAACAACCCCUUGAGUGUCACCUCCUUGGCUCGUAUCAAGAUUGUACCUUUAUUUUAAGUUCUUCAUUCUGUUUCAAUAACUUCUGUUGAAAAGUUUGUUGUUGUUCAAACCAUGCAUUUUGUGCAGCCAUUUGUUCCCUCAUAAACUUCAUCUACUCUUAAAGAGCAAGGAAUUGUUGCGGUGAUGCUUAUUGGUUGGAAGGAAGUGGCAAUCCGUGACCAGAAGGAAGGUUUAAGUCGAAUGGGCUUGAAACUCUCAGGUGAGCCACAUUACCUAGAAUUUUCAACCGAUCAGCAAACUAGUCGACAAACAAGUCCGUUCCAGCAAGUUGGCUGCAAUAACUCAAGGCUCCAAGUUGUCCAAGUGAAAGAUCGAAAGGGAAAUUUUCAUUCGGGUAAGCCAUCAUAACUUUGGCAAUUUUUAUCAAACUGAAAAGAAAUUCAUUGGUUGAAAAUAUGUCCACGCUCAUCGCACCAAUUGUUGAAUUUUUUUUGUUGUGUCUCAUUGAAGGGGACAAUCAAAUAUUUAUACACAUGAUUAUUGUUCAUGGAAUUGACAUUCUUGGUAGGCUCUAUGCAUGUUGGACACGUGUAUUGUUCUGGACUGUUUGCUGGACUUCGUAGCCCUCACAUACGAACUCCUUGCACAUGUGAACUGGGAUUGCAAACUACCCUUGCGAGCCCCUUUAGCGAACCCCCACUACAAGACCUACACGCAUCCAACUGGUUAGGCCCAAUCGAGUCACAGGUAGGCAAUUUAUAUUUUAUCUAGGUUUUGGGUUGGUGAACACAAAUACAUAAUAAAAGUACAAGAGCUUAAUAUUUAAAUAUAAAAAUUUAGAGGUUAACUUUUUAAUUUUAAUAGUACAAGGAACUCAACAAAAAAAUUUCAAAAAAAAAAACCAUAGUGAAGAAAAAGAGACUUUUUCUGUCAGAUUAGGUUUCUCUUUCUCUCUCUCUUAGAGUCCUAUACUCUUAACUCUUAUCCUUUUUGCGGCUAGGGUUUUUCUUUCUACAGUACCUCUUCUAACUUUUUUUUUUAAUUUAUUAGAAGAUUGGUUUGGUUUCAUAAUAUAAAAAUCUAAUGGAAGUUUUGUAAGAGUAAGGGAUUUUGUGGUUAUUAUAAAAGAAAGAUUCUAAGGGGUUUGGAAGUGGUUAGCGUGGAUUGUUCAUUAAAAAAAAAGAAAUGGCUGGUUUGAACCCUUUUGAUUUGUUGGGGGAUGACGACACUGGGGAGCUAUCAUUGCUGAUCGCUGCUCAGCAAAAGGCCGUCGCAGCGGCCACUGCCACUGCUGCUGCUCCAAAGAAGGGCCCAGCAAAGCCUCAAGCUAAGACGCUGCCUGCAACUCAGGCUAAGCUUCCCUCCAAGCCUCUCCCUCCUGCUCAGGCUGGUAAGUUUUCUCUAUCAGAGUGACUCAUUAUUUUCUGCUCUCUGUAUUGGGUCUUGAGUUUACCCGAUUGUGUUAAGUUCAAGUUUCCUUUUCUUAAUGGUCGAACUCUGGGGGGGGGGUUUAGUGGGUUUAAGUUUAUUCUGCUUCGGUUUCGUUUCUUGUAAAGUGCAGUUGGACUCUGAUUGUUAAAGAGUAUUUGUUGUCGGUUAUUUACUUGGAAUAUAAUCAUUGAGAGUUUCUUAUCUGUAUAGACUUACUUCUUAUAGUGAACAGAGCAAAAGAUUCCGGAACGCAUAUUGGUUUGUUGCUGUUAUUUCUUUUCUAAAAUGAAAUCCAAUGCUGUCAAGUUGCACUCAAGCUACUAGAAUCCUUAUAUGUGGUAUAAAAGCUUAAGAUAUAUGGUCAUGAUAAUACACCUCUAAAAGAUAGAUCAAACUUUAAUCUCAUUCUCCUACAAAAAAAUGAAAUGUACAAUUUUUUGUUGGCCAAUGUGCAUGGUUUUUUUUUUUUUUGGAUCUCAUGUCUGUUGUUGAAUAAUCAAGCAUUGAGAAGUAGAGUGUUUGGUAGUGUUCUUCUCUUCUUAGUAAAGGUAAAAUUAAUGAAAAAUAAAAUAAAAAAUGAAUGAAACUAAAGAAAACUUCAAUCAAGCAAACUUCUAAUCCAAUGCAUCUUGCCAAGAGGUCUUGAGGCACUUUUGUUGUUUGAUGCUGAGGCACAGUGCCAAAGGUGCAUGCCUUAACUAUAGAAAUGAAAUCUGCAUUCUGUGGGGAACUUUUGUCUUUUAUAUCAUAUUCUCUGAAAGUGUCAAUUGGUGUUCCAUCAAAAAGGAGUUCUUUUUUACUCCUUUUCAAAGUGCUUAUGCAUUGGUAUGCAAUUUUUUUUUACUGAAGCUUGAUAGUUGUAGCUUUGAUAUCAUCUUGAUAGUUAUCACAGUUACUCGAAAUAUUUUUUUAUCUAAUAGUCAAUUAUAGUUUCUUUAUAGCUCUCUUGGGCUUAUCACUGAUGUCGUGUUCUUUUAAAGUGAGGGAGGCAAAGAAUGAAGGUGCUCGUGGCGGAGGCCGUGGUGGGCGAGGAUAUGGACGUGGUUGUGUUGGUAGCAGUGGAUACAGACGUGAUUUUGCAAAUGAUGAGAAUUCCUUCAGCAAUAGUGCUGUACCUGAAGAUGGAGAGAGUGGAAAACCCUCUGAAAGGCGUGGCUAUGGUGGUCCUCGACCUUACCGUGGUGGUCGCCGUGUCGGUUUCAGUAAUGGGGAAGAUGCAGAUGGGGAGCAACCUCGCAGGUUGUAUGAACGCCGUAGUGG
rnacentral:lncRNA from 1 species